AUUAUAGAUUGGGUGAACCAUUCACCCUUCAUGUUGUUAACAAAUCCUACAUUGUUUUCCUUCUAGGUGUCUUUGGUGCAUUUUUACUAGCUUGCUACGAUGCUGAUAAGGAAGAGUUCCAGAGCAUUUGUAAAAUAGGUACUGGAUUUUCUGAAGCUGUGCUUGAAGAGCGGUCUACCAGUCUUCGGUCCAGAGUGAUUCCUACUCCAAAACAAUACUACCGAGUAGGAGACAGCCUGAAUCCAGAUGUUUGGUUUGAGCCCACUGAGGUCUGGGAAGUGAAGGCGACUUGACAAUUAGCCCUGUACAUCGUGCAGCUAAUGGAAUUGUGGACCCUGAUAAGGGAAUUUCUCUACGUUUUCCUCGUCUACUCCGUGUACGGGAAGACAAGAAGCCAGAGGAAGCAACAUCAUCUGAACAGAUUGCUGAUAUGUACCAAGCUCAAAAACACAACCAUCCAAGCAACGAAGCUAAAGGUGAAGAUGAUUGAGAACAACUGUAAUUUGAUCAGGGAGCAUAGUGUCUUGUAUGUACGCACAGCAGCGUGUGUUUGAGUUUUCAACUUUAACUACUAACUAGAUUUUGAUUAGAACUUUUAAAAACUGAUAUUUUUUUUACUAUUUUGAUAAAUUUAAUUGAAUUUGAACUUCU